rnacentral:rRNA from 1 species
UACGGAGGGUGCGAGCGUUAAUCGGAAUUACUGGGCGUAAAGGGUGCGUAGGUGGUUUAUUAAGUUAGCUGUGAAAUUCCUGGGCUUAACCUGGGCAGGUCAGCUAAGACUGAUGGACUCGAGUAUGGGAGAGGGCAGUGGAAUUUCCGGUGUAGCGGUGAAAUGCGUAGAGAUCGGAAGGAACACCAGUGGCGAAGGCGGCUGCCUGGCCUAAUACUGACACUGAGGCACGAAAGCGUGGGGAGCAAACAGG